rnacentral:rRNA from 1 species
GACGAACGCUGGCGGCGUGCUUAACACAUGCAAGUCGAACGGAAAGGCCCUGCAUUUGUGGGGUGCUCGAGUGGCGAACGGGUGAGUAACACGUGAGUAACCUGCCCUUGACUUUGGGAUAACUUCAGGAAACUGGGGCUAAUACCGGAUAGGAGCUCCUGCUGCAUGGUGGGGGUUGGAAAGUUUCGGCGGUUGGGGAUGGACUCGCGGCUUAUCAGCUUGUUGGUGGGGUAGUGGCUUACCAAGGCUUUGACGGGUAGCCGGCCUGAGAGGGUGACCGGCCACAUUGGGACUGAGAUACGGCCCAGACUCCUACGGGAGGCAGCAGUGGGGAAUAGUGCACAAUGGGCGGAAGCCUGAUGCAGCAACGCCGCGUGCGGGAUGACGGCCUUCGGGUUGUAAACCGCUUUCGCCUGUGACGAAGCGUGAGUGACGGUAAUGGGUAAAGAAGCACCGGCUAACUACGUG